rfam:Legionella oakridgensis ATCC 33761 = DSM 21215, complete genome.
CCACCGGUGUCACCCGGUGAUGCUAGGGCUGUGAAUAAAGAGCUAGCCUGACAAAGUAACAAAAGAUUGGAAACGAUCUGGGGGAUUAUUUUGCGAGGAAUACCCCUCCUGAGAGCCAGACCUCGGGUAAGUGC